GGGGGCACAGGCACUUGCGGCAUCCGCAGAGGAGCCAGCCCACGGGGCGCUCCGAAUGCCAGGAGUUAUCGCCCGCCGGGGCCUGCGGGAUCAGCGACGUACACAGGCUGGGCUGGGAUAACUGCGGAGCAGCGUCCGGGGAGAAGGCGGCCCGGCCGCGGCUGUCCAAUCCCCGGCAGACACUUGGAGAGCAGCCGCGGCCGGGCGGCUGGAGCGAGUGCGUGGAGCCCCGGGGAAGGGGCUUGCGGGGGGCUGCAGCGGCGGGGGGGGAAGGCCGGGGGGGCUGCAGGGGCCUGGGGUGGGGAGCGUGGCCCCGGGGGGCUGCGGCACGGCCCCGAGCCCAGGCCCUCGCGCACAAAGAGCCGGGCAGGGCGGCUGGGAGCUGGGGCCGGAGAGCUGGCGCGUGGCCAGCCAGCGCGGGCGAAAGGGUUAAGGAGCUCUGGUGGGCAUGGGGGAGGGCUGGUCAGGCCGGGGGAGAGGAAGGAAGCAGAGGAGGAGAAGAGCAUCCUGCCCAGAGGGCUUGCCGGGGGCCCCUUUCCCCUGGGAAGCGGCUCGCGAGGCCCGAGACCGAGGCUUGCAGCCGCUCUGGAUGGAGCCGUGAAGAGCCGCGCGGAGCGAGCUGGGCGCAGCCCCUCUCCGUGCCCGGUGGCACCGCUGCGCCGUGCCCGCAGCCUGCGGCCCGGGGCCUGGGCCGGCCCUGCUUUGCAGGCAGACGGGGCUGCCUGCUCCCCGUGCGGCAGCAGCCCCGGCCUCGCAGGCCCUGCGGCGCUGCGGCCUCCCUGCGCUGCGGCCUCCCUGCCCCCUCCGGGGGGCCUGCCGCAACGAGCAGGCCACGAGCAGCCCCAGCACACACCAGCGCAUGGGGGGACGGGACCCCCCGGGCUGGUGCGCUGGGCACCGGCAGAGCAUGGGGGGCUGGGACCCCUGGAGCUGGCACACUGGUCACCAGCAGGGCACGGGCAGAUGGGACCCCAGUGCUGGCAUGCUGGACACCGGCAGGGCUUGGGGAGAUGGGACCCCCGGAGCUGGCGCACUGGGCACCAACAGGGCAUGGGGGGGACAGGACUCCCAGAGCUGGUGCACCAGGCACUGGCAGGGUAUGGGGGGGGGGGUGACAGGACCCCCAGAGCUGGUGCACUGGGCACCAACAGGGCAUGGGGGGGACAGGACCCCCAGAGCUGGUGCACUGGGCACCAACAGGGCAUGGGGGGGACAGGACCCCCAGAGCUGGUGCACCAGGCACUGGCAGGGUAUGGGGGGUGUGGGUGA
rnacentral:lncRNA from 1 species